AGUGAACGCUGGCGGUAGGCCUAACACAUGCAAGUCGAACGGCAGCACAGUAAGAGCUUGCUCUUACGGGUGGCGAGUGGCGGACGGGUGAGGAAUACAUCGGAAUCUACUUUUUCGUGGGGAUAACGUAGGGAAACUUACGCUAAUACCGCAUACGACCUACGGGUGAAAGCAGGGGAUCUUCGGACCUUGCGCGAUUGAAUGAGCCGAUGUCGGAUUAGCUAGUUGGCGGGGUAAAGGCCCACCAAGGCGACGAUCCGUAGCUGGUCUGAGAGGAUGAUCAGCCACACUGGAACUGAGACACGGUCCAGACUCCUACGGGAGGCAGCAGUGGGGAAUAUUGGACAAUGGGCGCAAGCCUGAUCCAGCCAUACCGCGUGGGUGAAGAAGGCCUUCGGGUUGUAAAGCCCUUUUGUUGGGAAAGAAAAGCAGCAGGUUAAUACCCCGCUGUUCUGACGGUACCCAAAGAAUAAGCACCGGCUGACUUCGUG
rnacentral:rRNA from 1 species